GGGUAUAACUCAAGUGGUAGAGUGCAUGCUUAGCAUGCACAAGAUCCUGGGUUCAAUCCCCAGUAACUCCU
rnacentral:tRNA from 1 species